GCAAGGGACCUGAGCAUUUAAAAGACAGAUAUAAAUGGCACAAAAGACUGGGAGAUUCAGAGACUGAUGAUGGAAAAUGCUCUUGAAAUUAGUCUGGAUGAGCGGCAUAUGCAGAUGCAUACUGUAAACUGCAUACUACCAUUUUCCUUUUCUCAAGGUGUAUGGCCACCACACAAUGAAAUCUUCUGAUCUGAUAAUUGUCCUGCCUGACCUCACAGAAUCAAUGACUGAAUAAUAUGGAUAUUACUUUCCUGCUGCUCAGAAUUAGAAGUGCAUACUAGCAGAGAAGUCCUGAAGAUCGG